rnacentral:lncRNA from 1 species
AUGAGAGAGGAGUGGAAGCAGGAUCUACUGUGGAUCACAGGCACAAUUCCCCCCCUUGCUGAAUUCGCUACACAUGUUGCAACCGAGCAAGCAAGCCAACAUAAACCAGCACUAAAGCAGAAAGACAUUGAAAAUUGCUUGUUUGCUUACAAGAUGCAAGCUAUUGCAACUCCAAAGCAUCUAGUGCAGCAAUCUGUCCUGGAAGCAAAAUUCCCAGAGCAACUGGUGACCUUGGCUUCCUUUGAGCUGGCAGAAUGCAGAUGGAAAUAUGAAAGUCAUACAGCCACCCAGAACUUGAAAUGCCGAGACGUCAGGCAAUCAAAAACUGUUUAAUAAUACCAGCUUGACAGGUUUUAAAGGGAAUAGCAGCAGCAGUAUAUUCUAUAUUUUUUAAAUUUCCCAGUCCAACUUUUCUGGUUUGAAAAUAUGCUUAAAAAAUAGACUUAUGCAUGGAACUUUCUGAUGGAGAGUGGAAUUAUCUUAAGUUCAGCAAGAUGAACAUGGCUGCAAAAAUUAAAGAACUUAAUCUCCAGUUAUUGCAUAGAUGGUACAGAACUCCAGUGCGAAGUCUCCUGCUUGAAAUACAUUCAUAUCUGUGUGGAAACUGUUAACAGACUGUUGGCUUAUAUUAAAAGAUCACUAUAUGCGCCACAGUAUAUCUUAACAUUAUGGUUAAAUGACCAUUAAUUGCACUUCGAUUCCAGAUUAUCUCUCAUUCUUUGCCCAAUGCCCAAUAAUUGUUGAUAGGUGAAUUGUACGUUCUUUUUAUUUUGUAACAAUUUGCAUUUGUAUCUUUCAUUGUAUGUUUGACAAUUAGUUUAUUGCUUAGUGCCGAAUGACAUGAUAUUAUAGUUGAUGAAUAUUUCAAUAAACAUUGUUUUAAAAAAGAAGAAAGAAAGAAA